AUUGAACGCUGGCGGCAUGCUUAACGCAUGCAAGUCGAACGGUAACAGGCCCUUCGGGUGCUGACGAGUGGCGGACGGGUGAGUAAUGCUUAGGAAUCUGCCUAGUAGUGGGGGAUAACCCGGGGAAACUCGGGCUAAUACCGCAUACGCCCUACAGGGGAAAGCGGGGGACUUUCGGGCCUCGCGCUAUUAGAUGAGCCUAAGUCCGAUUAGCUAGUUGGUAGGGUAAUGGCCUACCAAGGCGACGAUCGGUAGCUGGUCUGAGAGGACGACCAGCCACACUGGGACUGAGACACGGCCCAGACUCCUACGGGAGGCAGCAGUGGGGAAUAUUGGACAAUGGCGGCAAGCCUGAUCCAGCGAUGCCGCGUGUGUGAAGAAGGCCUGC
rnacentral:rRNA from 1 species